rnacentral:rRNA from 1 species
CGUGCUUAACACAUGCAAGUCGAACGAGAACGGAACUAGCUUGCUAGUUUGUCAGCUAAGUGGCGCACGGGUGAGUAAUAUAUAGUUAACCUGCCUUCAAGAAGGGAAUAAUUGUUGGAAACGACUUGUAAGACCCUAUAUGCCUUUAUCACAUAAGUGAGCAAGGGAAAUAUUUAUAGCUUGAAGAUGGGACUGUACGGUAUCAGAUUGUUGGUGAGGUAAUGGCUCACCAAGUCUAUGACGCCUAACUGGUUUGAGAGGAUGAUCAGUCACACUGGAACUGAGACACGGUCCAGACUCCUACGGGAGGCAGCAGUGGGGAAUAUUGCACAAUGGACGAAAGUCUGAUGCAGCAACGCCGCGUGGAGGAUGACACAUUUCGGUGCGUAAACUCCUUUUAUAUAAGAAGAUAAUGACGGUAUUAUAUGAAUAAGCACCGGCUAACUCCGUGCCAGCAGCCGCGGUAAUACGGGGGGUGCAAGCGUUACUCGGAAUCACUGGGCGUAAAGAGCAUGUAGGCGGGUAUUUAAGUUGGAAGUGAAAUCCUAUGGCUUAACCAUAGAACUGCUUCCAAAACUGAAUACCUAGAGUAUGGGAGA